GGAUAACACUUUUUGCUAUCUCCGAUCAAUAACACAAUAAUACGUGAGAUAACUUUUUCACGUGUCAUUGUGUUAUUGACCGAAGACGGCAAAACAGUAUUAUGC
rfam:Prunus persica cultivar Lovell chromosome G7, whole genome shotgun sequence.